UAUUGUUUUAGAAAAUCGUAUAUCUAUAUUAGGGUGGUCGUUAAAAAUUAAAAUCUUUGCGGCGCCCGAAAAAAUCCUUCCUUCUGAUGAGAAACCACGGGAAAAAUUUUGCUUUUGCGAUUUAAAC